UACCUGGCCUGGCAGGGGAGACACCAUGAUCAAGAAGGCGGUUCACCCAGGGCGAGGCUUGACCAUUCCACUCUGGCCAUGCUGCCCCCUGUGAAUUCCCCAAAUGUGGGAAUCUCGACUGCAUAAUUUAUGGUAAUUUAUAGUAUGGUCAUGAUAAAUGUGUU